rnacentral:misc_RNA from 1 species
UGAACAAGAUUUAAAUUUUUCAUGUGUACCUCCGGUUAACUAAUUAAUCCAAAAUAAAAAUGUGAUAUAAAUGUUAAAUCACAUUGGGGAGUCUAUGUGAAAUUGAACAUUCUGCAACCGUAAAUUAUCAGUUAAUAAUAAAACAAAGUAUUAUGCUAACAAUCCUUUUACAUCAGUCUUUUAUCAGUAUAUUCAACUAGUUAAUAUCCAUUCCAUAUUACGAUACCAAUUCUGUAAUAGCUUUAGCACUGAAUUUGAAUCAAGCUCACUUAUCAUAAAUAUAUUACUAC